AGGACGAACGCUGGCGGCGUGCUUAACACAUGCAAGUGGAGCGACGAACCGGGGCUUGCCCCGGGGCAGAGCCGCGAACGGGUGAGUAACACGUGGGUAACCCACCCCGAUGAUUGGGACAACCCGGGGAAACUCGGGCUAAUACCAAAUGUGCUCGUAGACCAUGAGGUCCAUGAGUAAAGAUAGCUUCGGCCUUCGCAUCGGGACGGGCCCGCGGCCCAUUAGCUUGUUGGUGAGGUAACGGCUCACCAAGGCUGCGAUGGGUAGCCGGUCUGAGAGGACGAUCAGCCGACACUGGGACGUGAGACACGGCCCAGACUCCUACGGGAGGCAGCAGUGGGGAAGUCUUGCGCAAUGCGGCGAAAGACGGUGACGCAGCAACGCCGCGUGGAGGAAGACGGUCCUCGGA
rnacentral:rRNA from 1 species